UUCGCGGAAAUGGCGACGGAAAAAACACAGCUGGACUUUACAAGAGACAACACUUGUCAACGUUUUAAAAGAAUUUACAAUAAGUGGAAAAGUUUGACGGACGUAAGUUGGCAGCACAGACUUGUUGUGUCCGGAGUUAGCAGGUCAGUAGAGCAAAUUAAGAACCGCUGGGAAGCAACGAGCGCUUUGUACAAGGAGAAGCUAAACGAGCAGAAGCGGCGCGGCUCCAACCAGCUUCACCUAUUAUGAAUUAAUGGAGUAAUAAUCGGAGGUCGACCCUGUCCAAGGAUCACACUGGAGUAGAAGUCGGUUUUACACCGGAGGAAAAUUCACCCGAGACACCAGAAAGCCAGGAGAUGAUGAUGAUGUAAAGAGCACGUUGAAGGAGAUUGAUGACAGCAGAUCUCCACAACCUGAAGACCACAGAGGAGCCUCCAGACAAAAAAAAGAGUAAUAUGCUGCUAAAUAAGACCACAAUCGAAAGCCAUCAUCUGGUGAUGCCACGCUCCUGGGUGAUCGAUCAGCCCAACAGAGAUCUUUCCUGGACAACAUGCAACAGCAGCACGAGAGGAAUCUGGAAAGAGAAGAGAGGCUUCUUUCUAGGUUUAUGGAAGAAAGUAUCUGCUCAACUGAAAGCAUUAUAGGGCAACUGUUUAAUGGUCUUCAGGCUCUCCUUUCUCAGUCCUACUCAUCAGCUCCACAUUUACAUGAACAAAGUUAGUCUCGGACCUAGUUGAGACAAGCAUGUAACAGCCUGAAAACUACCACUCGUUCUGAGUGUUACUUCAAAUACAGCUGGAUUUUCUAAACUGCAGCAGGUAUAGAAUUUCCAAGGUACACAAUAUGCUCAGAAUGACCAGUACAUGUUUAGAAGGGACACAGAAGAGUGUAAAAUUUCAAAUUUUUAUAUUUUAAGAAGAAAAAAAAACAAAGCAUUAGAUCAAACAACCUACAUACGGUCUGGAAUCACCACAUAUUUAGUAUCUUAAACUUUCUGUUGUGGAUGUUCCCUGAUAAUCUUUAAAAUGUUUAAGAGCUCUAGAUACUGCUGUCUGCCAAAGAUACAAGGUUUGUUUUGUAUUUUCCACUUUAAAUGCAUAUUCUUUUGAUAACAGUAGGACUGAAAAUAAAAAUGUAAUAUUUGGAAAAUAUUCAUUUUUCUUUCGAUGUGUGGUUAUACAUUGACCCACUUAUUUUAACCAUUUUCUCUUAAAAUAUAAAAAUAGAAAUUUUACUUUUUUUUACCCUCCCAAAGAUGUACUGGUCAUUUUCAACAUGUUCAACACCUUGGAAAAUCUCUAGCUGCUGCUGUUUAGAAAACACAUCUGUAUUUGAAGUAACACUUGGGAUGAAAAAGGGCGUGAACAUUUAGGGCUGUUAGUCCUGGACAGAGAUUUUGGCACAUAUCUCAAGUUGUUCAUUGGGGUCAUAUUAGUCUGGAACAGGUGAGUUAACCUCUCCUAAAUGAUGUGCACGCAUCCCAGCUAGGUCCUCUACUAAGUCCACUAUUUCAUCACGAAUCACAGCGAGCCACCUGACCACGUGACACAAGUUCCCACCUGCCACAUCGGCACACUCAGAAUAAUCAAAAUAACAGUGGACUACAGCCUACACAACACAUAGAAACUGAAUAUAAGAAACUGGCCCUGAUGUUUAGCUUCUUCACAUUUUUCCUGGAAGUAUGUAAUUUUGCUGACAAAGAGAUGGCUUUAGGGUUUGGUUUUAUGAUCUGACAUCACAGUAAUGGCAGUUUAAGAAGUAAUGCCAAGCUCUGAUGGAAGUGAAUAAAAGUUUUUAGCACUAUAUUUUAUUUUUAACCAAAUUGUUGUG